AGGUGUCUCCUUCCUUCCUUACAAGCCUACAUGCAUCCCUCCCCAAACUUUGGGCUCAGUUGAAGAGGACAACUUUUCCCAAUAGAGGAGAACUGUUCUUUGUCAAGGGCAUGUGAGUAGCUACACUCUCCUGCUAGAACCACCGAACAAGCACUCAAGGUAUUUUUUUCACUCUUUUGUCUUCUAGUUGCUAACUAGAUGAGAAGAAUCUGGAAUGGUAGAACCAAAAGUAAAUGGAUUU
rnacentral:sRNA from 1 species